CACAGAAAAUAACACCUUACGCAUCCGCACUUUUUACCAGUUUUUACACUUUCUACAAGACACAAAUUUUGAAUAUUUUGUCAUGAGAUGGAAUUAAAAUAGCAUUACAUCUAGACAAGCAUGCGGUCAUCGAAUCUCCUUUCUUUUGCAAGAUGUAAUUGCAUGUAAUUUCUUUUCUUCCCACCGGAAGACAUCCGCAUCGUCUAGGACGUUAAAGUUCAAAGAAAAUAAAAAAUUGGUAUCAGUUCGAAUGGAUGAACGUUAUCACCGCAAGGAUGUAUCUUUAGGGGUGCUCUUAUUAAGUGGGGAUCUUAUAAUAUCUAUAAAAGAAGUGGGUCAUCAACAGUGCAAUUGCUUGAAGUGAGAGUGAAGAGUUUGCAGUGAACGGCUCACGGUGUCUUCGACGAGCACGAGUGUAUAUGUGUGUGUGACCUGGACCUAGACUUUGCCAUUAUGAAGAUAGCAUUUCUCCUGGCCUAUGCAAUUCUUACAUCGAAAAGGGUCAGAAGUGCCGCAGUUCAAGCCCCCUUAGACACAAUUUCCUCGGAAGAAAUCACAGACGCGGACCGAAAAACUUUAGAAUUUUUAAACCAAUAUUUUCCUCUCAGGCCUAAGCGAGAAGAGACCACAGACUCGGACCCAAAACCUUUAGAAUUGUUAAACCAGUAUUUUCCUCCCAGCACCAAGAAAGCAGAUAUCACAGACUCUGACCCGAAACCUUUAGAACUGUUAAACCAGUAUUUUCCUCCAAGUACCAAGAAAGCAGAUAUCACAGACUCAGACCCAAAAACUUUAGAAUUCCUAAAUCAGUAUUUUCCUCAAAGUGUUAAGAGAUCAGAUAUCACGGAGUCGGACAAAAAAGCUAUAGAAUUCUUAAAUCAUUAUUUGGCCCCAAGGCCCAAAAGGUCAGGUGAAGAGGCCUUGCACCAUUUAAAAGCCUCUAUAAGUCAUGGCAUUAAAUCGAAGUUGGGACUAAUAGCCAAGAGUUCAGCUUCAGCAAGCGCCCAUUUUAGUAAAAGUAGCAGCAGCGGCCAUGACCAUCACCAUCAUCAUUAUCACCAUCACGAUGAACAUCCGGAAUUCUAUGACCAUCAUCACAAGCACUUCGACUUCUGGUCUUUGAAGAAAUCCAUCUUGAACACUCUCCUCCAAGCGGUUAAAGCCAUAAAAGGCGGUGUGAUAGCCAUAAAAGGGCAACUGAUAAAGGGCAGCGGUUACCUCAUUUCAGCGAAGGGCAAGCUAAUAAGUGCCAAAGGGGAAGCUAUAACAACUUUAGGCAAGAACAUUGCCACCUCAGCCAUUCUAAGCCCAACCCAUGGUCAUUCAGACGACUACGGUCACGGCCACUACCACCACGAAGAAUAUGGAUCACCGUCGGCUCCGGGGCCUGAAUACGAGGUGCCAGAACACCACUAUCAUCAUCAUUCGCCACAUCAUGAAGACAAACCGGACGCCGACCACGCUGGUAUCUUAAUCCUGAAGAAGAUCCCCAAGCACGAACACGAACACGAACACGAUCAUCUACCCGUCGAACACAAAAUUCCCGACUUCAAACCGAUCGGCCACUCAGGACCCGGUCUUGGAGAAAUCAUCGGAAAAUUCUUCUCCGCAUCCACCUCCCUAAAACCAGGAGAACCCGCUCCUUUCGGUGAUCACUACGAUCAUGAUCAUCACCACGAACAUUAUCAUUCCGAUCACGAUCACGAUCACGAUCACCACCAUGACCACGACGAGCAUUACGAUCACUCUAGUCACUCAUCCCACUCAGAGUACCACCAGGAAACUCACCCCUCUAGUCACGACGAUGAUCACGAUUUUAAGCACUCUGACGCUGAUCAUCACAAUAUUCAUGAUAACCCUUCCAGUCAUUACGGGAGCCCCUUCGAAGAAGCUCCCGCUUACUUAAACAUUGAGGAGUAUGCUUCCGAGUCUAAGAAACAAGCACAGACUGUCACUCAAGCCCCAACUGCCGAACCGCAAAAAAUACAAAACGCCCAACAACCACAAACUCCUAUUAAAUAUGACGAGAUUAGACCGCUACCAACUGCCUUUGCCAAUACUGACCCCCAGAGUAUCAAAUACGACGAAAUCAGGCCUUUAUCCGCUUUUUCCAACACAGGGAUUGACACUUCUUACCUCCAAAACAACGACAAUCGCCCAAAUUUAUUCGUUGGCUCUUAUUCAAAUAAACCGAAUACGGCUUUUCCACCAUACGCCCAACAGUUGCAGUCAGUCAGACCAACUGCUCUAGCUCUUGACACUGCCUCAUUUGGUGGUUUUCCUAACACGGGUGUUUCCCCAACCAGUGGUUCCGAUAUCAAAUAUUUAGCACCUCCGGGUGUUGGACCACAAGUGUUUCCCAGUGGUGUGAACACACAAAGAUACCCACAAAGUGUUAAGUACCAAGGUUUGCUCGAUAGUUUCCCUUCGCCGUCUCAUAAAACCCCUUUAAAACGGCCCACACGUAGCAAGCACCACCAUGGCCGUAAAAGACCUGUACUACCCUCUCCCGAGUUCAUGAAAGCACUUAUGUACAAAGUGGGGCAUGACGGACCAAAGAGAUUAUAGACUGACGAACUGACUGUACUUGCAGGUAAUGAAACGUUGGUUAAUGUGGGUACUAAUGCUUCGGGAAAUCGGCUAACUUGUAUUAUUUAUGGACUAAUGUAUCACCCUGUUACUACAACUACUACGAACACUUUGACCCGUAUUUCUGACGAAGGCGAACCAGGAACUUUUUGUACAUAAUUUUAACACUCUAAUGAAUUUAGGUACCUCUGUAGGGUUUCCCAUCUACGUAAUUCUAUUCUCUUAUUUAUUGUUGUACCUAAUGUAAAAAUGUAAGUUUAUAUUUUGUAAAAUGUUAAUAUUAAUAAAUAAAUUGAAACCGAA